GUUCCAGUGAAAUAAAAGGCGAUACGGAACGUCUUUGUGUGGACUACCGAAAGCUCAACGUGGUCACGGUUCGGAUUCUCUGCCCAGCUGAUCACGGACAACACCACGUGCUUCUGCAGCAAGGUGUUCACGGAUUCCUGUGACAUCCUGGGAAUUCGUCACAAGAGCACGUGUGUGUAUUACCCACAGCCCAACGUCAUGACAAAGGGGAAAGGUGCCCUGGCUGCCAGAAAGGAUGGAUGCUGUCACCCCAGCUGGACUAUUGCUGCUGCCCGAGAAUCAUGGUCGCUGCAUAGUUGUCUCGUGUCCUUGCGCCUGGGGCCACUCGUGGCCUGGGCCGGCCCGGGCUUAUGCCGCGUUUAGUUAAAUAAAUAAAUUGUUGUUUGUUUUGA